CCGCUGAAUUUAAGCAUAUUACUAAGCGGAGGAAAAGAAACUAACAAGGAUUCCCCCAGUAGCGGCGAGCGAAGAGGGAACAGCUCAGCGCCGAAUCCCCGUCCGACAGGCGGAUUGGGGACAUGUGGCGUAUGGAAGAUCGCUUGCCCGGUGUCGCUCGGGGGCUUGAGUCCUUCUGAUUGAGGCUCAUCCCAUGGACGGUGUGAGGCCGGUAACGGCCCCCGUCGCGCCGGGGUCCGGUCUUCUCGGAGUCGGGUUGCUUGGGAAUGCAGCCCAAAGUGGGUGGUAAACUCCAUCUAAAGCUAAAUACUGGCACGAGACCGAUAGUCGACAAGUACCUUAAGGGAAAGUUGAAAAGAACUUUGAAGAGAGAGUUC
rnacentral:rRNA from 1 species